UACGUAGGGGGCUAGCGUUGUCCGGAAUCAUUGGGCGUAAAGAGCGUGUAGGCGGUCCGGUAAGUCCGCUGUGAAAGUCGGGGGCUCAACCCUCGAAUGCCGGUGGAUACUGUCGGGCUAGAGUGCGGAAGAGGCGAGUGGAAUUCCUGGUGUAGCGGUGAAAUGCGCAGAUAUCAGGAAGAACACCCGUGGCGAAGGCGGCUCUCUGGGACGGUACUGACGCUGAGGCGCGAAAGCGUGGGGAGCAAACAGG
rnacentral:rRNA from 1 species